rnacentral:misc_RNA from 1 species
UUGUAGCCUUUGGUAACUGCGUGAGAGAUAGAAGCGAAAAGCCCGCAAGAAUGAGGACUUGAAGCGCAUAGCCCGACGAAGG